rnacentral:rRNA from 1 species
UACGUAGGGUGCGAGCGUUGUCCGGAAUUACUGGGCGUAAAGAGCUCGUAGGCGGUGUGUCACGUCGGCCGUGAAAACCUGCAGCUUAACUGUGGGCGUGCGGUCGAUACGGGCAUCACUGGAGUUCGGCAGGGGAGACUGGAAUUCCUGGUGUAGCGGUGAAAUGCGCAGAUAUCAGGAGGAACACCGGUGGCGAAGGCGGGUCUCUGGGCCGAUACUGACGCUGAGGAGCGAAAGCGUGGGGAGCGAACAGG